UAGGGAAUCUUCCGCAAUGGGCGAAAGCCUGACGGAGCAACGCCGCGUGAGUGAUGAAGGUCUUCGGAUCGUAAAACUCUGUUAUUAGGGAAGAACAAAUGUGUAAGUAACUAUGCACGUCUUGACGGUACCUAAUCAGAAAGCCACGGCUAACUACGUGCCAGCAGCCGCGGUAAUACGUAGGUGGCAAGCGUUAUCCGGAAUUAUUGGGCGUAAAGCGCGCGUAGGCGGUUUUUUAAGUCUGAUGUGAAAGCCCACGGCUCAACCGGGGAGGGUCAUUGGAAACUGGAAAACUUGAGUGCAGAAGAGGAAAGUGGAAUUCCAUGUGUAGCGGUGAAAUGCGCAGAGAUAUGGAGGAAAACCAGUGGCGAAGGCGACUUUCUGGUCUGUAACUGACGCUGAUGUGCGAAAGCGUGGGGAUCAAACAGG
rnacentral:rRNA from 1 species